UACCAGCACCCCGAGUGGUCGGGACGUUUAUUGGGCCUAAAGCAUCCGUAGCCGGCUCUACAAGUCUUCCGUUAAAUCCACCUGCUUAACAGAUGGGCUGCGGAAGAUACUAUGGAGCUAGGAGGCGGGAGAGGCAAGCGGUACUCGAUGGGUAGGGGUAAAAUCCGUUGAUCCAUUGAAGACCACCAGUGGCGAAGGCGGCUUGCCAGAACGCGCUCGACGGUGAGGGAUGAAAGCUGGGGGAGCAAACCGG
rnacentral:rRNA from 1 species